rfam:Cucumis melo, WGS project CAJI01000000 data, contig: 09872
UCGAAAAGAGCUUGUCAAAUUAGCCCAAGACAACUGCCUGUAAUAUAACUAAUUAAGAGUCUCUAUAUUUAAGAAACUCAAAAUUAAUAUUAAGAAGAUAACGUCCUACAGGCAAGUCAUCUUUGGCUACCAAACGAGGCUCUUUAUC